ACAGCUUGCCGGUGUCGCGCUACACUGCUCUGUGGAGGGCUGAAGGCGGCGGUGAGCAGCCCCGAACGCGCCGCCCCUCAGCCCAGGCGCCUCCCGGGCUGCGGGGCCGAGCGACCGGGCUGUCCUCGGCAGCCGCUCAUUGCCGGCCUCCUCGGCGGGCAGGCGGCCAGUGCACUCCGGGCAGCCUGAUUGAAGGGAUUAAAGCAACAGGAAACGGUGUUUUCUUCCUUCUCCUCGUCGCCCUCUGCUUUUUGUGGCUACAUUCUGCCUGAUUUUAAAGCUUUAGAGAGCACAGGGCGCUUGCCCUUAAAUUCAGCGUGGCUAUUGGGAGAGAGGUUGAGGGAGUAGCCUGGGGUUAAGGUUCUGCGUUGAGUGCAGAGAACAGGUUUGCAGCUAUUGGAGGAAGCUACGGGUGGUGAGGCUGCCCUGUCUGGGGAGGGCUACGGAGCAGCCAGACAAUACUGUGGCCAUAUGUUGUCAGCAGUGAAUCAAGAAGAUAAAUCCCCUUGGUGAAAGGCUGAGUUGGCUGUAAACGUGGUAUAAGGUGUUCUUCCAGGAGCUAGUGAUUGCUCUUCUGGGUGAGAGUAGUCCUUGUAUAAUACUGUUGCCAUGUUGUAGUUGUUCAUAUGCUAAUGAGAGUGUAACUGACUUGUCACAUACAUCUUAAAAACCCAUGCCUCUGCUAGCUGUAGGUUUAGCCCUAACAAGCAGAUGUUGGCACCAUGUCAAAUGCUUUUUCAUGGUUGUCUUUUUUUUUUAAUGCUUAAAGGCUUUCAUGAAUGCCUAAGAGCAUAUCAGAUAGCUUCUAUGCAUCAAUGGCUUUUCUACUUUUAAACUAAUUAGGUGUUGUCACAUAAUUGAUGCUUAAUAAGUGUAGUUUUAAAAUGUUUUUAAUUACGUCAUAUAUAUUGUCUGAAAUACAGAUUUAUCUUUAGUUUCUCAUGUGCUCUGCUGUACUGGUGGCGGAAUAUUUUUUUUUGCAGCUCCAUGUCAGGAAACUAUUUGCAUGGCUUAUUCUCAAACUGUUUUUUUUUUUUUGUUUUUUUUUUAAGAGCAUUUUGAAUUUAUUGAGAAGCUUCUUCCCCACCCCAAAGAAUUAAAAUGUUUCUUUGCGUACAAAAUGAGAAACUGACUCCCUCUUUAGCUCUGUAUAAGAAUUCUCCCAGUAGUAUAAUCCCAGAGGAACAAAUAUGUGAUGCUUCUUUGGGCACAGUUCUAUGCAGCUAUUAUUUUUGGAUACUAAACUUACAUUAUUUUUUGGAUACUAAACUUAUUUUCCUUUUAUGCCUGUUACCAAUAUGUUGAAUUUGUGGUAAGAUGUAUGGUAUCAGAGAAAGACAAGCAGACUGACAGUGCUUUAACUGAGUUAGCCAGUGGCACUGUGUUUCCUUGGACUUAGUGAAGUAAUCACUGUGUAGCAUACUGGUAUAUCUUGGAGUGUACUUCUAUUAAUAUUCCAGUACAACAUAAGAAAUAGAUUUGCAAAAAUUAAAGCUCCAAGACUUCCUGCUCUCUACUAAAAUGAAUAAUGGAUCAUUUCAAUGAUUUUUUUCUAAGUGCUAAUCAAAAAUAUAAUGAUUUGCAAAUCACUGCUCAAAUCAGAGCAGUGAUUUUAAUUUUCAGCAAUUAUAGUCAUUAUAUUUUCUUUAUCUUUCAGAAAUUACUGUUUAUCAGUUAUGUAAAAUGGUUUACUGAGUAAACUGUUCCUUAUGAUUAUGAAGCAGCUAUUACUUAGUGCUUGCUGGUUAUUUCAAUAUAGGUUUUACCUACCUUAAGCUUUAAGUAACAAUAAGAUAAACUUAUUAGUACUUAUGAAAGCAGAUUAGUCCAAAGUUAUAAGCUUGAAUACUGUAGUAAAGUUUCAUUUGACUGAUUCCAUGAGCCACAUUGUGUUUGGAUUCAGCCUCCUUGACUGUGGACAUCAACACCCCAUGCCUUGAAAUUUAGGCAUGGCUCAAAUUGUUUGAUUGAGCACACAUAGAAAUGGUAUUUAUUUCCUUCUGUGACAGUGACUGAAAUGAUUGCAUCUGUAUGGUGACAAAUUUAGGUUUCAUUUUUUUCAUAAGCAAGUUCAUUUGGAAGCAACAGGGGGGAAUGAUAUAGUGAAGAAUAGAACAUUCUUGUUCCUUCAGUCCUCAGGAGGCCCUCUUUGCUUAGGUGUUUCAACCCCCAACCCUUUGUGCCCUUAAAUCAACAGGCUCCAGGUUGAUUUGGAUUCACUGGCUAUCUCUCUUCUAGGUUUUAUUGUUUAAAAGGCAGCUGACACCUUUAAAACACCUCUCCCUCACCCGCGUCAGUUUGUGUGUGUAUUGUAUACACACAUCAAAUAUAACAAAAAUCUCUUGAGAUGUUAGAGAAUUAGGCUUAGAUCCUAAGGAUAGAUUUAAAGGUUGAAUCUCAUUUUCUGGACUAGUGUUGUAACUGCUAGGCUAUUGUGCAGAAAGCAAUUUCUGUUGCCUGUGUUUCUCAUCCACCUUCUUGCUAAGCUGCUGUAAGUGAUUCUGAGGUCAGCUGUUAAAUUGCUGUUUUCUUCAGCUUUUAGCCAUCACAAAUAGGUGUAGUCUCGCAUUUUUAAACUAGCUCUCUCAGUGAUGCCAGGAUGAAUGGAAACGUGCUGGGAGGGAACUGCAAGACAUAUUACAAGACUGUUGUCUACUAAAGAUUAUUUAAAAACAAAAAUCUUAAUUCUUCUUUCACCUCUUAAUGGUUGUUUUGCUAUCUCAGGAACUUUCUAAUUCUUCAGUGGUUCUGGAUGGUUUGAGCUCAAUUUUGCAAUUUCAGACUUGUUCCAAUGUCACUUGUAUAGUCAUAUGAUGGUUUUUGCAUUGUUGAUGCUGUUUUUGUCUGUCUUGUUUGACUGCUAAAACCUAAAGGGGAAAGGUUCAGAUUCCAUGUGAAAGAAAUGGUAAAUGAUAGAAAAAGAAUGGAGAAUGAACUAUACACCAUGUUUAUUCAGUGGAAUAGACUAUUGCUACUUGAGUGACUGGUUGUUAUAAUGCUGUUGAAUUUUUUAUGUUUUAGUAAUCUGCCAUUUUAAUAAUCCUUUUUUUUUUUUUUUUUUUGGAUCAAACUGAACUGUAAUUGAUAAACUUUUUGUGGAUAGUAUCUUGCAUUACUUUUUGGUUUAAGAGAAUGUCUUAUUCUGUUCUAAGUUUGUUGUUCACAGGCUGUUGGUUUCCUAUUCUUUUUUCCUGCUUAUGAGAAGCACCAAUAGGAUCUUGCAAGAGUCAACAGUUGAAUAUGAGAUGUACAAGAAAAAUCAAUGCAUCUGAGAAAUAGAAGGAAAGUACUGUGAAAAUUGAAGCAUUUUGUUGUUAACUCACCUUGCUGGGAGUACUCCCUGGCAAUAUAAAGCAAACAAG